UACAGAGGCCUCAAGCGUUGUUCGGAUUUAUUGGGCGUAAAGGGUGCGUAGGCGGUACCGAAAGUUAGGUGUGAAAGUUCGAGGCUUAACCUCGAAAUUGCACCUAAUACUCCGGUGCUUGAGUCUCAUAGAGGAAUCUGGAAUUCACGGUGUAGCAGUGAAAUGCGUAGAUAUCGUGAAGAAGGCCUGUGGCGAAAGCAAGAUUCUGGGUGACGACUGACGCUGAGGCGCGAAAGCCAGGGGAGCAAACGGG
rnacentral:rRNA from 1 species